CCCCACUUUGUACUGCUGAACCAUACGACACUAUUGAUGAUUGUAGUUUCAAGGUUUAGAUAUUAAUGAUAUUUUCUGUUUCCUAUCAAUAGAGAAAAAGGUUUAGGAUUAUUUUUUACUAUGUGAUUCCUUUUACAAUUAAUGGUAGCAUGUUUGUGUUAAAAUAACACAAAAUAUGAACAUAUUCUAAUUCAAUAAAGACAUCUUUUGGGCUUUGCUUUUCUUUGAAAACAUGUAAUGUGAUAGAGUAAGGAAGCACAAUCUAUUGCUGUAGAACUAAUGGGGAGGGGAAGAGUUAAAGAAUUACUUGAGGUUCAAUUCAAAGAAGAUUCUUCUGUGGAAAGCCUCCAAAGUUAGUUAUUUAUUGUCCGAUCAGUCUGAUUUCUUCUCUUCAUAAAAUUAUUGCCAAAGCUCUUGCUUAGAGGUUGAAGAAGGUUCUCCCUUCCACCAUAAGCGAUUGUCAAACAACCUUUGCAGUGGGUAUCCUAGAUGCCAUUCUUUUAGCUUCAGAAGUGGUUGAAGAUUUGGACGUUAAGUAACAAUAGGAGUAUGUUUUGAAGUUGGACCUUGAAAAGGCUUAGGACAAAGUCGAUUGGCACUUCCUUGAUGUUGUUCUGAAGUUAAAAGGCUUUGAUAGCUUGUGGAGAAAACGGAUAAGAGGUGGUUUCUACUGAAAAUUUCUCUGUUUUGAUUAAUGGUGAGCCUAGGGAAAAGAUUUCAGCGGUAAGAGGUUUGAGGCAAGGCCUUUGCCCCCCCUCCCUCUCUCUUUCUAUCAUCAGGGAGGCUCUCAGCUGAGUGUUGCAUGAUUGUCAGGAAAGCAGAAUCUUAAAAGCUUUUCAAGUUGAGGAAGCUAUGGUCAAUAUGUCGCAUCUCUAGUACACUGAUGACAUUGUUGAGCCUUUAUGUGGAAUGGAAUACUUUGCCCGCAUUGAUUGGGGUGUUGGGUGUGGGCUCGCUAUAUUAUCGAAAUAUGUCUUUGCUAGGUGGCUCUGGAGAUUCACGCAAGAAGAAAAUCCCCUCUGGAAGAAGGUGUUCAAAUCCAUUUUUGGGAAGAUAGUUUGGUUGACCAAGAUACAUUACAGAAUUGCUUUCCGGAUUUUUCUGUGAUUUCUAGCAAAAAAGGUGCUUCUAUUUCUGAGUGUUGGGACAACAACAAAAAAGUUGGAAUUUGGGCCACACAUGGGGUCUCUUUGACAGGGAACUAAAUAGUUGGGGUGAUAAUAGAAAAUUUGACUUCGGUUCAGUGAGUUGGAUGGCCUGGUCGAGCCUUUUGGCCCCUUGAGGGCUAAGGUUGUUAUUCUUUGAAGUCAGCCUGCUUAUGCGUUUCUAAAAAUACUAUAAGGGUAAAAUCCCCUUGACCGCGCUGGUUUGGAGAAGCAAAUGGACGCAGAAAGUAGAACUUUUCGGUCCUAUGGCAUUUAGAAGCCUUGAUACUGAUGAGAUGAUUCCGAAAAAAGGUUUUAAGUCUUGGGCUCUUUCUCAGUUGGGGUGCAUAUUAUGCUUGAAAGAGGGGGAAGGUAUAAACUACUUUUUUCUCCAUUGCUUGUUUGCAUUUCAGGCUUGAACUUUAAUUUCUAGAAGUUAGGGAUUGGGACUUGUCCUCUCCGGAGGAUUGAUGAUUGGCUUGUGGAAGGCAUAAGUGCUUUGAAUUUGUCAAGCAAAGCUAGGAUUUUGGGUUGCUAUGCUAUGAUAGAUCCUGUGGCAGAUUUGGCUCGAAAUCUAUAUUUUCAAGAUAAGUUUCCUAAUUUUGAUUCUUUUUGUAUUCUUUACGGUUCUUGAUGGGCCUCUUUACAUUCAAAGUUCUUUUAUCAGCUAUUGGAAACCGCUUGUUAAGUAGUUACCCUGGAUGGAAUUUCCUCUUCCCUUAGUAGUGUUGUCUUUUAUUGUCUUUUUACCUUCCCUUACUUGUGUGUAUCUAUCUAUCUAUAUGUAUAUAUAUAGUGAAUGGAAUAGAGUAUUCUGAUUCUCUCAAACCUUUAGCAUUUACAUGGCAAUAGAGAGCUAGGUUAAUUGGAUUUUUUUUGUUAACCUAGGGAUUUUUUUUUUUUUUUUUGUUAACCUAUGGUUUUGUGAACCUUAGAUUUUGUAGUUUGGGUCAGAGAUUUUUGUCUAGACAUGUUGUAUCUGUGCAUCCACUCCUGAUAACUUUGAAAAUUUCAUUACGAUUUCUGCAGAGGAGUUUGCUAAAUUUCAACCAUAUCAAGUGUCAUUAUUGACAUUAUAUUCUACUCCAGUUACUGCUAUCACAAAGACUGUAACGCUUCUAUAUGCCUUCUUCCUCCACUUUGAAAUGAGCCAUUGACUUUGGUGCUACCAAUCAUAUGACAGGCAAUCCCAAUUUAUUCCCUAAUCUUCUUUUUAAAAAUUUUUUGUCUACCUUUUCACCUAAUGUUACUAUAGAUGAAAAAACUACAUCUCCAGUUUGGGUCUGACGCAAUGAAUCUUACCAAAUCAAUUUCAUUGUCGUUUGGUUUAAAUUUACCACAGUUAUCUUUUGAUCUCUAUUAGUAAAUUCGCUUGCAAUCUUAAUUCUUGCAUCUUAUUCAUUCCUGGUCAUUGCUUAAUGCUUAGUUUAGGAUCUUACAACGAAGAAGACUAUUGGUAGUGGGCGUGAAUUUGAAGGUCUCUGCAUCUUUAAACCACAAGUAUCUAUAGCCAUCAUAUGCUCUAGAGUGUCCACUUAGCCGCCAUCACAUGCUCUAGAGUGCCUCCUUCCUUUGAAGAAUAUUUCCAUUUGGGUCAUUUGUCUAUCUCAAUAUUGAAGACUGUCAUCCUCAAUUUGAUCAUUUGUGAAUGGAAAAAAAUGGAUUUGUCUGCAGUAUGGUCCGCUCAACAAAGGAUCAUAUGUUUUUGGUAAAUAGUCGUUUUUAGUUUCGUUAGAUUAUGUGUCAUGUUAGUUUGCUAAGUUUUAACAUAUGAGUUUGUAUCCAAGAGUCAAUACAUGAGCUAGUGCUCUUAUUGAGUCAUAGAGGGUUUCAGUAUUUUUUUUACCUUUGUUGACGAUUAUUCUCGUGUUACUUGGUUAUUUUUAAUGAAAAGCCAUUCCAAGUUGAUUUCUUAUUUUCAUAACAUUCAUCGGUAAAUUUGAAAUCAACCAGUUCUUUUAAAGUCCUAUGGAGUGUAAUGCUAAGAAAUAUUUCUAAAAAAGAGAUACUCCUUAUACAGUUAAUUUUGUAAUUAAGGGUAUUCAUGACACCCAACGUUUGCCGUUGAAUGAAAAGUUAACUCAAGAAAUGAGACAAAUGAGUUGGCUCGAUUGGAGGAGGGGUUCAACAACAUUUUCUUGAUUAGAGGCAGUGUCUUGAGCAGCAUCCCAAAUCUCUUUGAUAGUUGAAAGUAGGAGAAAAUUAUCUCUAAUCUUAGUGCUCAUGGAGUUGAUUAACUAGCUCAUAACUUGAUUGUUCUUGUGGAUCCUCGAGUUUGGGUUAAGAUGCUUUACCUGUGAUAUAAUCUUCUCAUCCACAGAUCGUACAUGAACAUCAUCACAGAUUGUGAACUCUGAAGGUAGUUGUGGCCUUUGAGUUUGUGGCAUGUUAUUUGCAUACUGUUGCUCUCAGUGAAGGGGAAAAUGAUAUUUUGCGAUUCUGAUUCUUACAAGAUUUAAAAGAAAAAAAGAAAAAAAAGAGGAAAUGAAGCAAUGGGGAAAAACAGACGUGAGGUCAUUGUGAAAAGAAAGUGCAUGGCGACAACUGAUGAUGAUGGCAAUGACAACUAAUGAAGACAACAACAAAGGAGGUUUUUAUUCUAAAUNCCCCCCCCCCCCCCCCCCCAAAAAAAAAAAGGCCUACAUGAUUUUUUUGGUGGGGACGA